rnacentral:lncRNA from 1 species
UCCCGGUUUAUCUUCGGAAGAUUUUAAUUGAGGAUUGUCUCUCCCACCCCAGCUUCCAGGAACCAGCUCUUCCCAGAGGAGAAGUCGUCCCCGGGCCAAGGAUCUCCUCGGCGCUCUCGGACUCCGUCCUCCGGUGACGUUUUGGACCCUUCUGCCAAAACCUGCCCCGGGGAGCUCCUGGAAAUGCCGACCGCAGCCCCGGGCUCCGUGGAAGAAGCUUCGCUCCAACGGCGUUUCCCGGCUGCGCCUCAGGGGAUUCUCCUCCACAGCUCCGGGGCACUUGGGCGUCUCGGGGGCCGCGGUUCCGUCCCAGCCGCUGCAGCUCUCGCCGGGCCAGACCAAGUCGUGUGGACCAAGUUUCCCAUCCCUCGGAGGCACCUCCCUGGAAAAGCCAGAGCAGCUGGAAAAGGGAUGGACACCUCAAAAGAGGCUGCUGAGAACCUCCUGAGGAAAUCCAGCAAGGCCAAGUUGGGGUCUUCUCCUGUCCUGCCUCCAAUCCCACCUGGACAGACAAACACCAACCCCUGACGGCCACGUCCAUCCCAAUUUCUGUCACACUGACUCUUCCUGACCCUGCUUUUCCAUCUCUUGCUCUUCAAAAUCUAUCAAAUAUUAUUGUUGAAUCCAUUUCUGAUUAACUAACACAAAAAAAAAAAAAAAAAAAAGGGUUAUUUAUCUAUAACUUUA